rnacentral:rRNA from 1 species
AAAACUUUCAACAACGGAUCUCUUGGUUCUGGCAUCGAUGAAGAACGCAGCGAAAUGCGAUAAGUAAUGUGAAUUGCAAAAUUCAGUGAAUCAUCGAAUCUUUGAACGCACAUUGCGCCCGCCAGUAUUCUGGCGGGCAUGCCUGUUCGAGCGUCAUU